rnacentral:rRNA from 1 species
GAUGAACGCUGGCGGCGUGCCUAGUACAUGCAAGUCGAGCGAACGGACGAGUAGCUUGCUUCUCUGAUGUUAGCGGCGGACGUGUGAGUAACACGUGGAUAACCUACCUAUAAGACUGGGAUAACUUCGGGAAACCGGAGCUAAUACCGGAUAAUAUUUUGAACCGCAUGGUUCAAAAGUGAAAGACGGUCUUGCUGUCACUUAUAGAUGGAUCCGCGCUGCAUUAGCUAGUUGGUAAGGUAACGGCUUACCAAGGCAACGAUGCAUAGCCGACCUGAGAGGGUGAUCGGCCACGAUGGAACGGAGACACGGACCAGAAUCCAGAGGGAGGCAGAAGUAGGGAAUCUGCCGGAAGUGGCGAAAGUCUGACGGAGGAACGAAGCGUGAUGGAUGAGGGUCUUCGGAUCGAAAAACGCUGUUAGUAGGGAAGAACAUAUGUGUAAGGAACUGUGCACAUCUUGACGGUACCAAAUCAGAAAGCCACGGCUAACUACGUG